rnacentral:rRNA from 1 species
GACGAACGCUGGCGGCGUGCCUAAUACAUGCAAGUCGAACGCUGAAGGAGGAGCUUGCUUCUCUGGAUGAGUUGCGAACGGGUGAGUAACGCGUAGGUAACCUGCCUGGUAGUGGGGGAUAACUAUUGGAAACGAUAGCUAAUACCGCAUAAUAGCAGUUGUUGCAUGAUAACUGUUUGAAAGGUGCAAUUGCACCGCUACCAGAUGGACCUGCGUUGUAUUAGCUAGUUGGUGGGGUAACGGCUCACCAAGGCGACGAUACAUAGCCGACCUGAGAGGGGGAUCGGCCACACUGGGACUGAGACACGGCCCAGACUCCUACGGGAGGCAGCAGUAGGGAAUCUUCGGCAAUGGACGGAAGUCUGACCGAGCAACGCCGCGUGAGUGAAGAAGGUUUUCGGAUCGUAAAGCUCUGUUGUAAGAGAAGAACGAGUGUGAGAGUGGAAAGUUCACACUGUGACGGUAGCUUACCAGAAAGGGACGGCUAACUACGUG